UCUUCUUCAAGUUUCUGGAAGCAAGACCAGAGCAAGUACAACUGUGGCCUUUCAGAUAUAGCAUACAAGCUCAGCGGAGGCUUCCCUUGCGGAGGUUUGGGUUUCAGGACUCUGCUUCCAAGUGUACUCUCACGCUUGACGGCGUCUAAAGAAUCUAAAAGCUUUCCUUUCACCACAUCCCACACAGACUCCAAAUCACCAUCAAAACCUGUGUCCCUAAAAAUGAAGAGUAUAGAAACGUAAAUUACACAACAGUUUGCAUAUAUUCUCUAUCAUCUACUCUUACCUACCAGAAGACUCUGAAGCUCCAAGAUCUGGACUCUCCUCCUCCACGGUGUUCUCUCUGGAAGAGUAACCAGAGUUUCGAAGAGGAAACACUCCAGCCAUAUACGUGAGGAAAACACUGGUCAUCAAGAGAACUUGGUCACCGAUAGGGACCCAACCGGAGCCAGCCACAGCGUCAAAGUCAGCGAGAGAUGCCAAGCAAGUACAUUUAGAACAAGAAGACUCUCCACGAGUAAGAUAAUCUCCAAGAUUCAAGGAAGUAGAGACACAACGUUUCCGAGCUUCCCUUGAUGGCUUCCUACACAAAUAAAGGCAUUGACUUUUGAUCAAGAACAACAACAAAGUUAGCUUAAAGCAUCAACCUUUGGGUGAUGUUUACAGGAGGGUUCCUGGAAAGGCAGCUCCUUUUAGUGAAGUGAGCUUUGGGCAUUCCCAGGUGAAUGCAAGAAGAUGAAGACACAGCCAUUGGUAAAAACAAUAGAACUCGAGACUACAACAUGUUUGAGGAGAUUCUUGAGGCCAAUCUCUGCAUCACAAGAAGACAAAAGAAAACAAAUGAAUUUCAAGAAUCUGAUUGUAAAGUAGAGAUAAGUUUGAAUCAACGACAUGCAGUUUUGAGGUUCGAAUCCAGUGUCAGAUAACAUGUAGACAAGGAAGCUUAAUCUACAUUUGAGAUUGGAGAGUCAAAUAGGAGCUUCAGGGAGAGAGAGAUAUAACACUUACGUUAGCAGAGGAACGAAGAGGGGAGAAUUGAGAAAAGAGCAGAGAGAGAGGAAGAAGCGGAUUGGGGUGGUGCGUAUCUGAAAAGACUGAACAAAACAAGAACCAAAAGCAACAUGUUUGUUAUGUUAAAUAUAUAUGUUUGAAGGAAGAGAACAACAUGGGGUGGUGGCGCAGUUGGCUAGCGCGUAGGUCUCAUAGCUAACUGAGAAAUCCUGAGGUCGAGAGUUCGAGCCUCUCUCACCCCAUUUUUUCAAUUUCAUUGAAACGCUGAGUUUACUUAAACUCGUCCCACAUCGGAUAUUUAGGUCCUCUUAGUUUCAAUAUAUAUAGAGCGAGUGAAGGACAAAGCUAACAGCGGAGGCUUCCCUUGCGGAGGUUUGGGUUUCAGGACUCUGCUUCCAAGUGUACUCUCACGCUUGACGGCGUCUAAAGAAUCUAAAAGCUUUCCUUUCACCACAUCCCACACAGACUCCAAAUCACCAUCAAAACCUGUGUC
rnacentral:lncRNA from 1 species